GCCCAAUGAUGAGACCAAGGCGAAUGCGAGCCAACUGAAAGAGGGUUGGGAUCUCUCUCGUCUGGCCGGUAAUCUUGGCAGUGUAGUGGAGAUUGGCUGCUCUGCUGUAAGGGCCGGCCUACAGUGACUUGGCCCCACCCACACGUUUCUCCCGCUGAAGAAACACGAUAGAGAAUAGUGGGAGGGUGCUGACAGUGUGACUGGUGUGUUAAUCUGAGGCAGGGAGAAACCCACCUCUCCUUCAUAUUCAGGAGCUCUUCUUUUAUUAAUCUGAGGGCU
rfam:Salmo salar isolate Sally breed double haploid chromosome ssa05, whole genome shotgun sequence.